GACGAACGCUGGCGGCGUGCCUAAUACAUGCAAGUCGAACGCAGUGGGGACGGGUGAGUAACCCGUGGGUAACCUCCCAUCAGAGGGGAUAACACUUGGAAACCGGUGCUAAAACGCUCCUGGUGGAUGGACCCGCGGUGCAUUAGCUAGUUGGUGAGGUAACGGCGCACCAAGGCCACUAUGCAUAGCCGAUCUGAGAGGGUGAUCUGCCACACUGUUACUGAGACACGGCCCAGACUCCUACGUGAGGCAGCAGUAGGGAAGCUUCGGCAAUGGACGAAAGUCUGACCGAGCAACGCCGCGUGAGUGAAGAAGGUUUUCGGAUCGUAAAACUCUGUUGUUAGAGAAGCGGUAUCUAACCAGAAAGCCACGGCUAACUACGUGCCAGCCGCCGCGGUAAUUC
rnacentral:rRNA from 1 species